rnacentral:rRNA from 1 species
CCUACGGGAGGCAGCAGUGGGGAAUAUUGCACAAUGGGGGCAACCCUGAUGCAGCGACGCCGCGUGAGUGAAGAAGUCAUUCGUUAUGUAAAGCUCUAUCAGCAGGGAAGAAAAUGACGGUACCUGAAUAUGAAGCACCGGCUAACUACGUGCCAGCAGCCGCGGUAACACGUAGGCGGCAGGGGUUAUCCGGAUUAAUUGGGUGUAAAGGGGGCGUAGACGGCAGUGCAAGUCUGGAGUGAAAGGCGGGGGCUCAACCCCCGGACGGCUCUGGAAACUGUACGGCUGGAGUGAAGGCGAGGUAAGUGGAAUGCCUGGUGUAGCGGUGAAAUGCGUAGAGAUCAGGAGGAACACCAGUGGCAAAGGCGGCUUACUGGACUAUAACUGACGUUGAGGCUCGAAAGCGUGGGGAGCAAACAGGAUUAGAUACCCCUGUAGUC